AUUGAACGCUGGCGGCAGGCCUAACACAUGCAAGUCGAGCGGAUGAAGGGAGCUUGCUCCUGGAUUCAGCGGCGGACGGGUGAGUAAUGCCUAGGAAUCUGCCUGGUAGUGGGGGAUAACGUCCGGAAACGGGCGCUAAUACCGCAUACGUCCUGAGAGAGAAAGUGGGGGAUCUUCGGACCUCACGCUAUCAGAUGAGCCUAGGUCGGAUUAGCUAGUUGGUGGGGUAAAGGCCUACCAAGGCGACGAUCCGUAACUGGUCUGAGAGGAUGAUCAGUCACACUGGAACUGAGACACGGUCCAGACUCCUACGGGAGGCAGCAGUGGGGAAUAUUGGACAAUGGGCGAAAGCCUGAUCCAGCCAUGCCGCGGGUGUGAAGAAGGUCUUCGGAUUGUAAAGCACUUUAAGUUGGGAGGAAGGGCAGUAAGUUAAUACCUUGCUGUUUUGACGUUACCAACAGAAUAAGCACCGGCUAACUUCGU
rnacentral:rRNA from 1 species